rnacentral:rRNA from 1 species
AGUCAUAUGCUUGUUUCAAAGAUUAAGCCAUGCAUGUCUAAGUAUAAGCAAUCUAUACAGUGAAACUGCGAAUGGCUCAUUAUAUCAGUUAUAGUUUAUUUGAUAUUGCCUUACUACAUGGAUAACUGUGGUAAUUCUAGAGCUAAUACAUGCUUCAAAACCCGUUUGGGUUGUAUUUAUUAGAUAAAAAACCAAUGCCUUCGGGCUCUUUUGGUGAUUCAUAAUAACUUCUCGAAGCGCAUGCCUUGUGCUGGCGCUGUUUCAUUCAAAUUUCUGCCCUAUCAGCUUUCGAUGGUACGGUAGUGGCGUACCAUGGCUACAACGGGUAACGGGGAAUUAGGGUUCGAUUCCGGAGAAGGAGCAUGAGACACGGCUCCUACAUCCAUGGAAGGCAGCAGGCGCGUAAAUUACCCAAUCCUGACACAGGGAGGUAGUGACAAUAUGUAACGAUAUACGGUCUAUGACUGUAUAAUCGGAAUGAGAACAAUUUAAUUUUACUUAUCGAGUAACGAUUGGAGGGCAAGUCUGGUGCCAGCAGCCGCGGUAAUUCCAGCUCCAAUAGCGUAUAUUAAAGUUGCUGCAGUUAAAAAGCUCGUAGUUGAACCUAGGAACAGGUGAUCAGGUCCACUUUUAGUGCGUACUUGACUCACCUGUCCUUUUGCCUGGACGUCUGUCUGUGUUUAAUCGCAUGGGCAGAAAGGUCAGGCCUUUUACUGUGAGGAAAUUAGAGUGUUCAAAGCAGGCGUUUCGCUCGUAUAUAUUAGCAUGGAAUAAUAGAAUAAGACGUAUGGUUUUAUUUUGUUGGUUUCUAAAAUCAUCGUAAUGAUAAAUAGGGACAGCUCGGGGGCAAAGGUAUUUAGAUGUUAGAGGUGAAAUUCUAUGAUCAUCUAAGGACCCACUACUGCGAAAGCAUUUGCCAAGGAUGUUUUCAUUAAUCAAGAACGAAAGUAUGGGGAUCGAAGACGAUUAGAUACCGUCGUAGUCUAUACCGUAAACUAUGCCGACUAGGGAUCGGAUGGGCGCUAUUUUAGCCCAUUCGGCACCUCGUGAGAAAUCAAAGUUUUUAGGUUCUGGGGGGAGUAUGGUCGCAAGGCUGAAACUUAAAGGAAUUGACGGAAGGGCACCACCAGGAGUGGAGCCUGCGGCUUAAUUUGACUCAACACGGGGAACCUCACCAGGUCCAGACACAAUAAGGAUUGACAGGAUUUGAGAGCACUUUCUUGAUUUUGUGGGUGGUGGUGCAUGGCCGUUCUUAGUUGGUGGAGUGAUUUGUCUGCUUAAUUGCGAUAACGAACGAGACCUUGACCUACUAGUUGGUCCGGAUAACUUUAUGUUGUUUCGUGAUCUCUUAGAGGGACUAUCAAAGAAAAUUUGGUGGAAGUUCGAGGCAAUAACAGGUCUGUGAUGCCCUUAGACGUUCUGGGCCGCACGCGCGCUACACUGAUACAGCCAGCGAGUUUAUAUCUUUGCCCGAGAGGGUUGAGUAACCUUGUUAAACUGUAUCGUGCUGGGGAUAGUCUGUUGCAAUUUUCAGACUUGAACGAGGAAUUCCUAGUAAGCGCAAGUCAUCAGCUUGCGUUGAUUACGUCCCUGCCCUUUGUACACACCGCCCGUCGUUACUACCGAUUGAAUGUAUCUGUGAAGACUCCGGACGUGAGCUUCUUUGUGGGAAACCGCAAUAAGCUUGCGAAAGCUGUAUGAACAGAUAUAUUUAGAGGAAGUACAAGUCGUAACAAGGUUUCCGUAGGUGAACCUUCGGAAGGAUCAUUAUUGAGAUCAUUUACACACCU